rnacentral:lncRNA from 1 species
CGCGGGCGCUCUCCGCGGGGUCGUCGAACGAGGACGCGGGCUCGUCGAAGGAUGAAAACGUCUUCUCCACGUCCACGACCGGGACGGGAAUGUCGUCGUCGAAGUCGUAGCUCUCGUACUUCGCUUUAAAGUCCUCGAAGCUGGUCGAGGUCGAGGACGAGGACGAGGACGAGGACGAGGUCGAGGACGAGGACGAGGACGAGGACUUGGAUGAUGACGUAGACUCCUCCGGGUCCCCCCAGGAGAACUCGUUCGCGCUCCAGGAGAACUCGUUCUCGUCGUCGUCGUCCUCGGUCGAAUUCUCCGACGAAGAAUAAUCCUUCGACGAAGAGUAAUCCUUCGAAGAGGAUCCACC